CCUACGGGUGGCUGCAGUGAGGAAUAUUGGUCAAUGGUCGGGAGACUGAACCAGCCAAGCAGCGUGAGGGAUGAAGGUACAGAGUAUUGUAAACCUCUUUUGUCAGGGAAUAAAGGCGGGGACGUGUCCCCGGAUGAGUGUACCUGAAGAAAAAGCAUCGGCUAACUCCGUGCCAGCAGCCGCGGUAAUACGGAGGAUGCGAGCGUUAUCCGGAUUUAUUGGGUUUAAAGGGAGCGUAGGCCGCAUGUCAAGCGUGCUGUGAAAUGUUCGGGCUCAACCCGGGACUUGCAGCUCAAACUGGCGUGCUUGAGGCCGCGGAAGGCAGGCGGAAUUCGUGGUGUAGCGGUGAAAUGCUUAGAUAUGACGAAGAACCCCGAUUGCGAAGGCAGCUUGCUGCAGCGGAACUGACGCUGAUGCUCGAAAGCGCGGGUAUCGAACAGGAUUAGAUACCCUGGUAGUC
rnacentral:rRNA from 1 species